AGGAAGGAGCUUACUGCAAGAAGCUCAGAGCUCUUCAGGUCCCCUAUUAUCUCUGACUUCAAGCCUCAUGUAUAGCUUCCAGCUGUGCUCUGUGCAAACCAAGGCCACGCUAGGCGGUAAUAGCGUAAGCUCUGAUGCG
rnacentral:lncRNA from 1 species